rnacentral:rRNA from 1 species
CAACCCCUGUGACAUACCAAUUGUUGCCUCGGCGGAUCAGCCCGCUCCCGGUAAAACGGGACGGCCCGCCAGAGGACCCCUAAACUCUGUUUCUAUAUGUAACUUCUGAGUAAAACCAUAAAUAAAUCAAAACUUUCAACAACGGAUCUCUUGGUUCUGGCAUCGAUGAAGAACGCAGCAAAAUGCGAUAAGUAAUGUGAAUUGCAGAAUUCAGUGAAUCAUCGAAUCUUUGAACGCACAUUGCGCCCGCCAGUAUUCUGGCGGGCAUGCCUGUUCGAGCGUCAUUUCAACCCUCAAGCCCAGCUUGGUGUUGGGACUCGCGAGUCAAAUCGCGUUCCCCAAAUUGAUUGGCGGUCACGUCGAGCUUCCAUAGCGUAGUAGUAAAACCCUCGUUACUGGUAAUCGUCGCGGCCACGCCGUUAAACCCCAACUUCUGAAUGUUGACCUCGGAUCAGGUAGGAAUACCCGCUGAACUUAAGCAC